rnacentral:lncRNA from 1 species
UAAAGAAACAGCUGUACAUUCACCAUAAAGGGAUCACUUACAAUUUAAUAAUAUUUUACCCUUAUUGCUUUUUCUCCCCUCUGUCUACAGGAACUGCAAUGACAUCCCUUGGAGCAGCUGUUUCCUUCCAUCGCUGUUUUACCGGGUCCCCCGUGGCUUUAGAGCGAUUCUUUGCAAACCCCUGCCUCCGCCCCUGAGUUGGGUUAUUGCCGUGUCCUUCGGGCAGGGAUUUGGACCAGCAUUUUCCAAGGGGAAGGCUCAGUCACAAGCAGGUGUCAAUGUGGAAAAGACACGUGCCAACCAGCCCCGAAUCCAUCGCCAGCCGCAUCUUGCCGGCGUUGUUUAUUCCGAUACACUUGGGGUUCACCUUUCAGGCUGCCGGUUGUUGGGAAGCGAGCUGUUUUCUAGGCUGUCCCUGUCGGGAGGUGAUUCUGCCCCUCUACUCUGCACUCGUGAGACCCCACCUGGAGCUCUGUGUCCAGCUUUGGAGUCCUCAACACAGAAAGGACAUGGACCAGCUGGAACAGGUGCAGCGGAGGGCCAUGAAGAUGAUCAGAGGGAUGGAGCACCUCUGCUGUGAGGACAGGCUGAGAGAGCUGGGAUUGUUCAGCCUGGAGAAGAGGAGGCUCCGGGGAGACCUUAGAGCCCCUUCCAAUAUCUGAAGGGUGCCUAUAGAAGAGCUGGGGAGGGACUCUUUGCCAAGAAUGGUUCUUGUAUUUUUCCCCCGCUUGCUGGUGUUGGGGCUGCCCAAGGUGCAGGCAGAGAGAGGGAGGAGGGUCCCUGCCUGGGCUGCGGCUCCCUCCCUGGCCAUUCCUGGGGUGAUUUGGGGUGAUUUUGCUGCAGCUGGGAGGCCAAGCCGGGCUCUGGAGCCGAGCGCGGUGGGAUGCGAGGAUGGGCAAUCAGCAGUGGCGUGAAGUUGAAGCAGUAAAAGUGCCAGAUUCUGCACUGGGAGGGAGUAACUCCAGCAUCGGAGGAGGACAGGAAGGUCCUUGAAUGCCUCCAGAGGAGGAGAACCGAGCUGGUGAGAGGGCUGGAAGGCAUUUCCCAGAAGCAUGGAGUGGUUUGGG